UACGUAGGGUGCAAGCGUUAAUCGGAAUUACUGGGCGUAAAGCGUGCGCAGGCGGUUGUGUAAGACAGGUGUGAAAUCCCCGGGCUUAACCUGGGAAUUGCAUUUGUGACUGCACGGCUAGAGUGUGUCAGAGGGGGGUAGAAUUCCACGUGUAGCAGUGAAAUGCGUAGAUAUGUGGAGGAACACCGGUGGCGAAGGCGGCCCUCUGGACGGUGACUGACGCUGAGACGCGAAAGCGUGGGGAGCAAACAGG
rnacentral:rRNA from 1 species